rnacentral:rRNA from 1 species
GACAGAGGGGGGCAAGCGUUGCUCGGAAUUACUGGGCGUAAAGGGCGCGUAGGCGGGAUGGCAAGUCGGUCGUGAAAUCCCUCGGCUCAACCGAGGAACGUCGAUCGAUACUGCUGUUCUUUGAGGAUUGCAGAGGAGACUGGAAUUCCCGGUGUAGCGGUGAAAUGUGUAGAGAUCGGGAGGAACACCGGUGGCGAAGGCGGGUCUCUGGGCAAUUCCUGACGCUGAGGCGCGAAAGCGUGGGGAGCAAACGGG